UGGGGAAUAUUGGACAAUGGGCGCAAGCCUGAUCCAGCCGUGCCGCGUGAGUGAUGAAGGCCCUAGGGUUGUAAAGCUCUUUCACCGGUGAAGAUAAUGACGGUAACCGGAGAAGAAGCCCCGGCUAACUUCGUGCCAGCAGCCGCGGUAAUACGAAGGGGGCUAGCGUUGUUCGGAAUUACUGGGCGUAAAGCGCACGUAGGCGGAUCGAUCAGUUAGGGGUGAAAUCCCGGGGCUCAACCCCGGAACUGCCUCUAAUACUGGCGAUCUGGAGUUCGAGAGAGGUGAGUGGAAUUCCGAGUGUAGAGGUGGAAUUCGUAGAUAUUCGGAGGAACACCAGUGGCGAAGGCGGCUCACUGGCUCGAUACUGACGCUGAGGUGCGAAAGCGUGGGGAGCAAACA
rnacentral:rRNA from 1 species